GGCGCUGGGAAGGACCUGAGGCCCCCGCCGGCUCUGGCGUAGCAGCGGCGGCUGUGAAGCCCCGGGCCUCGCUCGCUCCGUCACGCUCCCCUCCCCCGAAGGCUGCGCUGACCGGACAAUGGCCGCUCCGCCCCCUCCCCUCCUCACACACCCCUCCUAAGGAGUCACAAUGGUCUCGCCCGGGGGAGCCGCCGCCAAAGCCCAGCAGCUGAUCAGCUGGGAUCCGGGCGUGCCACUUUGUUCAGCCCCUCAAAGGAAGAGUACGGGGCUGUGGGCAAAGCCGAGAGCGUCGGGCUAUCACCCGGCGACGGGCCUCUGAGGUUUUCAUAUUCUUGGAACUUUUAAAAUCUGAGGCAAACUUACCUUCUCCCUGUCUGAAGAAGGGGAGCAGGUUUCUGAGUACCCUGGGGCACGUUGCCUCCCCCCAAACGCGAAUGAGUGGACAUGUUUGGUUUGGGGAUGGGACCUAUGGCCGAAUCAGUGAUGAAAAUUAAUGUAAGCAAAGAAGUUCGAGCCACCAAAAAAUAAGCCUUUAGCGCUUCUUGUCUUUCAUCUAGAACUCAUUCUGAGUUCCAGCCAAUCGUGAGCAGAAGGCGAUUGUAGAUGGCAAAUGUCAACGCGGAGGAAACUUCCACCAUAUCUACUGGAGAGGUGACCCCCACAGCUGAGACCCUUGUUGGCGAACUUCGAAGGUCACUGCUACUUCCGGAAGGCUUCCUGGCUCUUAGAAAAGGCAGCUGUGUACCCCCGAUUCGGCAAGAAUACGAGACCCUCAGAGGAGCUGCUUCAUUCUUCUCUGCAGACCUGCUUCCACUGCUUCUCUGGGAAUACAGUGGAACAUGACUAUCUGAGCUCGCCUAGCCUCACCUCAAGAACCAACAGAAAUUAAUUAAUUAUCUAUGAAUCCCAGUUCUCAAGAGAAAGAACCUUACUGGUCAAACUUACAUCAGGUUGUCUAUUCUUGAUAGGAUAACUUUGAGCCAGUCAAGGCUUUUUGUUUUGUAACGCAAACAUGACUGUCAGAGGUUCAUCCUUGUAGCCUGUGGUUCUCAAAGGUCAGUUAUGUUCUUGGCAAAGAUUCCAAAAUGUAUCUAACACAGACCAAAAAAGGAGUAAAUUACAGCCUAAAAUCAAAAAGCAUAAAGAAGAGUGGACAUGUUCAAGAAACUAACUCCUAUUUAAACUAUUUCAGGCCUGGAGCACCUGGCUGGCUUAGUUGGUAGAGCAUGCAACUCAUUAAUCUCAGGGUCAUGAGUUCAAGCCCCACAUUUGCUUAAAAAAAAUUUUAGGGGCGCCUGGGUGGCUCAAUCGGUUGAACGUCUGAUUUUGGCCCAGGUCACAGUCUCAAAGUUUGUGGGUUCAAGCCCAGCAUCCAGCUGUACACUGACAGUGUGGAGCAUGCUUGGAAUCCUCUCUCCUCUCUCUCUGCCCUUCUCCUGCUCUUUCGCAUUCUCUCUCUCUCUCUCUCUCUCAAAAUAGAUAAACGUUAAAAAAAUGUUUUUAGGGGCACCUGGGUGGCUCAGUCGGUUAAGCGUCCGACUUCAACUAGGUCAUGAUCUCGCGGUCCGUGAGUUCGAGCCCUGCGUUGGGCUCUGGGCUGAUGGCUCGGAGCCUGGAGCCUGCUUCAGGUUCUAUAUCUCCCUCUCUCUCUGCCCCUCCCCUGUUCAUGCUCUGUCUCUCUCUCUCAAAAAUAAAUAAACGUUAAAAAAAAAUUUUUUAAUGUUUUUAAUUUUUAAGUAAAAAUAAAAAUAAAUACCAAAAAAAUAAAAAAAAAUUAUUAAAAAAAAAAACUGUUUCAGGCCUAAAAUUAAAUGGCAUUCCCUCAAAGAAGCUUUCAUUGACCACCCCCUAGUCCCACUUAAAAUUAUAUUACCCUAUUUUUAUCUUCUGUGGCACCCUUUUCCUUUGUAGAACUUAUCACAGUUUAUAAUUAAAUAUUUAUUCAUGUUUUCUCUCCAAAGAUCAUGUCUGUCUUGUUCACCAUUAUUUAUACAAUGCCCGGGACACAUUUGGUAGACAUUAAUAAAUAUUUGUUGAACAACAACAACAAAAAAUAACAUGAAACCCAUAUGUGAAUUGGCACCCUAUUCAGACUAUCCUGGGGGAAUGUGUACCACAUACCUUCCCUACAAGACACUGAAACUCACUGCAAGCUUUUUCAUCACACAAAAUGAGACCCAGUGUUCAUUUGCUCCCUCUUAUGUUCCUAGCUGGCUAACUUUUCACCCUUCGUUCCCAAGGUUUCUAUCGGAAAAGCCCUUGAACCAGUUCCUAUAACAUGCCCACUUAGUUGGUUGAAUGCUCAGAGAGAACAUAAAAUUUCAGGGCAUCAUCAAAUUAGGGGACCAAAGUGUGGGGGUAAUUGUCAGAAGUGCUUUUGUCAUAAUUGUCUUGACUAUUUUCUAGUGUAGAUUACGUUCCAGAUGAGCCUGUGAUGUGACUCUUGGGAGUAGUUUGCAAUCACCAUUGGCCUAAAAGGAGCCAUCUACGUGCUCAGUAGGGUCUAGUAAAGGAUAAUAUUAAUGCUUCAGCAGCCAGAGCUCUUGAAGUAGCAACUGAGGUUGUAUGGGAAAGAGCCAGGUAUGACUCAAGGGCAUGGGCUCACAAAGGCUGCUUUCUUAGUAAUACUGAGUCCAAAGACCUUAACCCUGCAAGAGACAGCCAAAAAGGAGGCACUCAUGGAGACCUGAGAGAAAACAGAUGGUCCUCUAACUCAGAUUCUAAUUCUUACCCCACAACUCUAACUCCCAGGUCCAACCCUUCCAUCAUUAGAAUUCAUUCUACCUUGGUAUUAGCCCCAAUGUCCAUUCUACACUCUAGCCUCCGUCUUAAUCCUAAUCCUAACAUGAUCUGGAAAAAUUAAUCCUAGAUUUCAGACCUAAUCCCAACCUUAAUUCUGUGAGCUUAACAAAGGCUCCUUGCCUUGCCACUGAGUUAUUUUCCUCAGUUCCUCUCUCUUAUGUCCCUUGACCCUGACCCACUCCUGGGAACAGAGAAUCCUAUAACACUCUGGCCCCCU